rnacentral:lncRNA from 1 species
AACCCAUCACUUAGAAUCAGCUGUCCUAACAUCAAAAAGAUACCGCUGUCACCAAUAGCACAAGAUCUAAGCUUGUCGUACGCACAGAACAGUCUCUUUCUGAUGUAGUAGCAGUUCUGAGCAAAACAUUAUGUAUCACAGAUUUCUUCAAUCCUUGGACCACAAGAAAAUUGUAAUCAUCUCACAUUGCCUUUCUUUCACGUUGCCUUAAACAUUGUAUGCAGUCUCUGGCCACUGUUCCUCACAAGUCCCAUGGCAAGAAAGAACAUGCAUAUUCUAUAUGAUUGAUAUCUCCAUGCAUUUGCAUUAGAAAGUCCAGCCCAAGUAUUUUUCAUGCGUAAAACACAGUUGAUACCACUGUCAGACCUUACUCUUCCUUGUUCUCAUCUUCAAUGUCUCUAGCAGCGUCUCGGGUGGUCCUUGCCGGAAGCUCUAACAAGAUUGUCUCCUAACAUGAACCACAAAGAUCUAACGGAUAUUUAUCAGGUCAUUACCAAUAAUUAUAUGUUCUUCUCAUGUUCAUUCCAUGGUGAAUACGGUGUGAUUUUCAACUUCUGGUUUCUCAAGCAGUGUCCUCAAGUUCCGGAGUAUGCACUAUGUUGAUUUAUCGCGUCAUUUAUCCAUGAUUUAUUCGCCAUAAAGCACACAUCAGAUCCUAAACCAGGAGAAAAUAGUUUAGCGGCUUAGUUUUCGUGUACUGUCCUGCUGCAUCUUUAAUCUACUUCUCUGUUGACAUAAGCUAGUUAAUGACUGAGCCAGAUCCUAAACGACACAUCCUUGACGUGAGACUCAAAGUUUCAGCAUUGAAACGGAGCUUCCAAAUACAAACCAAACCAGCAUCACGUAUCACAAACCCAUACAAUAUGACCAAAGAGCAAAUUCCGAGUUUCUCACAAGACAAUCACUUUUCAAAGUGAAACCAUAAUCAAUACCGAAUCCUGAACAUGAAGUUUCAAAGUAAAACUAUUACUCAGAUAACUCAGUCUUUCUUGACUUGCAGACCAGAACAAACCAUCAUCAUAUGAUCAACAUCUCAUAUUUCUUGAUUGCAAAAGCAAAAUAAUUUUGACUCCAUUCGGACGCUCUGAUUAUUCUAUCAUACCCCAUAGCAUCCAUAGUUUGCAGACCCGUUUCAAAAUAUGGAGAAUGAGAAACAUUUUUUCCUUAACUUUCUGAAUCAAGCCAUAUCACUCAAAAUCAUUGCACGAGUUUUAGCACCACUUGAACAGGCUAAGACCAUAUGCCACACUGACAAACUCUCUGCCUGCUGCUGUC